rnacentral:rRNA from 1 species
AGUGAACGCUGGCGGUAGGCCUAACACAUGCAAGUCGAACGGCAGCACAGUAAGAGCUUGCUCUUACGGGUGGCGAGUGGCGGACGGGUGAGGAAUACAUCGGAAUCUACUUUUUCGUGGGGGAUAACGUAGGGAAACUUACGCUAAUACCGCAUACGACCUACGGGUGAAAGCAGGGGAUCUUCGGACCUUGCGCGAUUGAAUGAGCCGAUGUCGGAUUAGCUAGUUGGCGGGGUAAAGGCCCACCAAGGCGACGAUCCGUAGCUGGUCUGGGAGGAUGAUCAGCCACACUGGAACUGAGACACGGUCCAGACUCCUACGGGAGGCAGCAGUGGGGAAUAUUGGACAAUGGGCGCAAGCCUGAUCCAGCCAUACCGCGUGGGUGAAGAAGGCCUUCGGGUUGUAAAGCCCUUUUGUUGGGAAAGAGAAGCAGCAGGUUAAUACCCCGCUGUUCUGACGGUACCCAAAGAAUAAGCACCGGCUAACUUCGUG